AGAAGGAUGGUUAAUUGAUCAGUGAUCUCCCUGCUUGACCUCCUGUUGUGAUCCGAUUGAUUCCAAUGAGGUUGAGUGCUGUGGAUCAACAAGCACGACUGUGAGCUCAAAAUAUCAGUAGAUUUGUUGUGGUAGUGCCUUAACAGGAUUUGAGACUUCUCCAUUCAGGAAAAGACAAGUCCGGUAGAUACAAAAAUUACAAGAUCGCAAGUUUGGAUUGAAGGUCACAAGAAAAAAAAUGGGGAGCCUAGUACUCAAGCUGUUGGAGAGAAAAUAGUGGACCUAAUUCGACCAAAUG